rnacentral:lncRNA from 1 species
UCUCCACCUUCAUGAUUCUAUGAUUCUACGGUUCUAAACCAACCAGGAGAGAAAGUUAGCCAGGAGGUGCUAAGCCAGAAGCCACGCACGUGGGGAUGCAGCGCUGACAGCAUCCAGCCUGGUCCCGAGGGGCUCUGCUGAGCACAGAACCAGCUCCAGCUGGAACCACGGCAGCCCACCUUAAUGCGAUCAGCAUCCCGCCUCCGUGCUCGCACCCCCUGCCAACCCGCAGCGCGCUUCCCGCGGGCUUCGGAGCUGUCCAGCAUCUUCCCCAGCGAUGCGGCAGAAAAUCAGAAAGUUUUUUUCGGCCACCCUCCAAAUGAACAGAUUAGCAGCUUGGCAAACGGCUCGAGGAGCGGGUUACUGCCACGGGGUGCAAGAGGCACGCAGCAUCCAGUGUGGGCGUGCAGACAGAGGUGGGCACGCAGCCCGUCGCGAUUUGGGGGGGCACAGAGAAGGCCCUGCAAACUGCUCCGGAAACAACACCCUGAUAGAAUGCUUUGCUCAACGUGCACAGCCCUUGGGGAAGGAUUUGAGAAGUCCAAUACGUUCGGCUUUUGUUCCAAGGAGGGACACGUGCAACACCUACAGUCACUACAGCAAAAAAAAAUUCCGACUCACCCGAGUGAGGAAACAAAGGCACGUGCUGGGUUGCUGCAAAGAGUAAAGCAGCAAAGGGAUAAAGCACCUCAACACUGCAUUCCAACACGGACCUGCUGCUUCAUACCACCCUUGCCAAAAUGCUUUCUUUCAGUAAAGUCGAGAUGGGCAGCUUAGGAAAUGAUGGAAGAGAUCGUUCCAAUGCUGUGGGGUUGGCCUAUAUAGAUAUAGGCAUAAAAAUCAUACUAUUAAUGCGUGAAGAAUUCCAGGGCGCUCCUGGUGGGAGCAGCAUACAGGCUGCGUUUC